UACGGAGGGGGCUAGCGUUGUUCGGAAUUACUGGGCGUAAAGCGCACGUAGGCGGCUUUGUAAGUUAGAGGUGAAAGCCCGGGGCUCAACUCCGGAAUUGCCUUUAAGACUGCAUCGCUAGAAUUGUGGAGAGGUAAGUGGAAUUCCGAGUGUAGAGGUGAAAUUCGUAGAUAUUCGGAAGAACACCAGUGGCGAAGGCGACUUACUGGACAUGUAUUGACGCUGAGGUACGAAAGCGUGGGGAGCAAACAGG
rnacentral:rRNA from 1 species